UACGAAGGGGGCUAGCGUUGCUCGGAAUCACUGGGCGUAAAGGGUGCGUAGGCGGGUCUUUAAGUCAGGGGUGAAAUCCUGGAGCUCAACUCCAGAACUGCCUUUGGUACUGAGGACCUUGAGUUCGGGAGAGGUGAGUGGAACUGCGAGUGUAGAGGUGAAAUUCGUAGAUAUUCGCAAGAACACCAGUGGCGAAGGCGGCGCACUGGCCCGAUACUGACGCUGAGGCACGAAAGCGUGGGGAGCAAACAGG
rnacentral:rRNA from 1 species